CCGCAAGCAAACCGGAGUGACUCAACCGGAGAAGCUACACGAAACCUGAGAAGGAUUAGAUAACCUAAUCCAAUCCGCUUUUGCCAUUCAAAGUUCAAACCCGUUGGAGGAUGAGAACGAAGCAUCAAAAUGGGAGGAGGGUCCAGACCUUGCGCAAGGCAGGACCACCUUGAAACCAUAACAAGGAGGAGCACAAGUAAAAGCAGAGCACACGCCGGAAGGGGCUUCCUCUCCUAUAGACGACAGUUAAAAAUCCACAGACCUUAAGAUACACGCGACAAACACAGGGCAGAGAUGGCCACACGACAAUCACAACCACUGAGAGCACAC
rnacentral:lncRNA from 1 species